rnacentral:sRNA from 20 species
GCUGGUGCUUUAAUCAUAGAUUACAGGGCAACCUGGGCGGUGAUGACGUGUUGCAAGCGUUGUUACCGUUUACAUA